rnacentral:misc_RNA from 1 species
GUAGGUGAACCUGCGGAAGGAUCAUUCAUAAUAAGUGUUUUAUGGCACUUUUUUAAAUCCAUAUCCACCUUGUGUGCAAUGUCAGGGUUGGUCUCUUGAAAAAGAGAUCAGCCCCAAACAUCAACCCAAUCUUAACUCUUUGUCUGAAAAAUAUUAUGAAUAAAACAAUUCAAAAUACAACUUUCAACAACGGAUCUCUUGGCUCUC